rnacentral:rRNA from 1 species
AACGAACGCUGGCGGAAGGCCUAACAAAUGCAAGUCGAACAGCACCUCCGGUACAGGUGGCUCCCGGGUGGGUAACGGGGGGAAAUCGCCCCUGGGGUCGGGAAAACAAGUUGUAACGGAGGGCUAAUACCGGAGAACAACUAAGUACAAAAGAUUUAUCGCCCGGGGAUGAGCCCGCGUAGGAUUAGCUAGUUGGUGGGGUAAAGGCCUACCAAGGCGACGAUCCUUAGCUGGUCUGAGAGGAUGAUCAGCCACACUGGGACUGAGACACGGCCCAGACUCCUACGGGAGGCAGCAGUGGGGAAUAUUGGACAAUGGGCGAAAGCCUGAUCCAGCAAUGCCGCGUGAGUGAUGAAGGCCUUAGGGUUGUAAAGCUCUUUUACCCGGGAUGAUAAUGACAGUACCGGGAGAAUAAGCCCCGGCUAACUCCGUG